UACGGAGGGGGCUAGCGUUGUUCGGAAUUACUGGGCGUAAAGCGCACGUAGGCGGCUUUGCAAGUUAGAGGUGAAAGCCCAGGGCUUAACCCUGGAAUUGCCUUUAAAACUGCAUCGCUAGAAUUGUGGAGAGGUAAGUGGAAUUCCGAGUGUAGAGGUGAAAUUCGUAGAUAUUCGCAAGAACACCAGUGGCGAAGGCGGCUCACUGGCCCGGUACUGACGCUGAGACGCGAAAGCGUGGGGAGCAAACAGG
rnacentral:rRNA from 1 species